rnacentral:misc_RNA from 1 species
AACCACAACAAUAAAUUUUCCACUUCCCCCCUUUCUAUAUAUUUAUUAAUUAAUUCAUUAUUAUCAACCAAAUAAUUUUUAUCCAUAAGUCUCACUAGCCAAAAUUAAACUACAUGCAUAUGCAUGCUCAUUAUUAAAAAUUAAUUAAGUGUAGGACUUUAAUGAUUAUGGGUAAUUUAUUCUGUAAAGUACUGAUUUUGGUACUUUUAUGUCUAACUACUACUUGUCCUUUGAUAAGCUAUGCUGUUGAUGACAAUUUUUUUCAAUCAGAAUGUUUGCAAGUGCCAACAUCUGAGUUUUUGGGUUCUGUUAAGUCUACCAUCAACAUUGUUCGUGAAGUCACUUCUUUAGUGUCAAAAUUUGCUAGCUUUUUUGGCGAUUUUCGACUUUCGAAUGCCAUUUCUGAUUGUCUUGAUCUCUUGGAUCUCUCAGCAGAUGAACUUACUUGGACUCUUACUGCUACUCAGAAUCCCAAAGGAAAAAACAACAGUACAGGUAAUCUAAGUGCAGAUUUGAAGAAUUAUUUAAGCGGAGCAUUAAUUAAUCAAGAUACAUGCAUCGAAGGAUUCGAGGGUACAAAUGGACUAGUCAAGAAUUUGGUUGCGGGUAAUCUCAACCAAGUCUCAUCAUUAGUCCGCAACAUUCUUCUUAUGGUCCGACCCGUCUCUAGGAAAAACGUCUUCCCCUCUGAGGCCAAUGCCAAACGUGGGAAGCCGUGGCAAUUCUCCCGAGAAAGAAAAUUAACGUCAAAUGAAGAAGAUCACAACUUAUUCCCUUCGUGGAUUAAACGAAAAGAUAGAAGGUUAUUGCAAGCAUCAAAUUCGACUAAAGGAGUAAUUACAGACGUUGUAGUAGCUCUUGACGGAACUGGUAAUUUUACCCGAAUUAAAGAUGCAAUAGACGCAGCACCACAAUUGAGUACAAAAAGAUUUGUGAUAUAUAUUAAGAAGGGAAUUUAUAAAGAGUAUGUGGAGAUUAGCAAGAAAAAAUGGAAUAUUAUGAUGAUUGGUGAUGGAAUUGAUGUUACUAUUAUUUCUGGGAAUAGAAAUUUUAUUGAUGGAUGGACCACUUAUAGAUCUGCAACCUUUGCGGUAAAAGGUCAAGGAUUUAUAGCCCGAGACAUAACAUUUGAGAACACAUCAGGACCCGAAAAGCACCAAGCAGUAGCAUUUCGUUCCGACUCAGAUUUAUCGGUCUUGUUCCGAUGCGCGGUGAGGGGUUACCAAGACACUCUCUACGCCCACUCAAUGCGUCAAUUCUACAGAGACUGUACAAUUACUGGCACAGUCGAUUUCAUUUUUGGAGACGGUACAGCUAUUUUUCAAAACUGUCAAAUAUUAGCACGAAAAGGAUUGUCACAACAGAAAAACACAAUCACAGCACAAGGUCGAAAAGAAAUUGCUGAAACAACAGGUUUCACGAUUCAAUUUUGUAACAUAUCUGGUGAACCGGAUCUAUUAACUUCACUCAAUUCUACGUAUACGUAUCUUGGAAGACCAUGGAAGACGUAUUCGCGAACAGUGAUCAUGCAAUCGUACAUGAGUAAUGUAAUUAGACCUCAAGGUUGGUUAGAAUGGAACGGAAAUACAUCACUUGACACAUUGUAUUACGCAGAGUACCAAAAUUAUGGGCCUGGCGCCGGUUUGGGCGGUAGAGUUAAUUGGCCUGGUUUUCAUCUGCUCAAUGAUUCAUCACAGGCUAGUAAUUUUACCGUUGCUCAGUUCCUUUUGGGGAACUCAUGGUUACCUCCUACGGGAGUUAAGUAUACCGCUGGUCUAGCAGUUUAAAGUUACUGAUAUCUAUGGACAUGUAACAUCAUUUUUUUUUCUUGGAUGCAUUGGGCGAUUUUUCUUUCUAUUUCUAUCGUUUUUACUGGUACGUCUAUAUAGAUCAAGUAUAAAAUACACGUUUAAUGCGUGAUUAAUUAAGAUAUUCGGACACUCUGGAUGAACUAUGUAUUAUGAGACUUAAUAACUUUUGAAUUUUGUGCAGAGUUUUCAUCUGAAAUGAUUAAUUCGUAUAGUUGGACCUGAUUUCAUCACUUUGA